AGAGAUAUAGUUUAAUGGAAAAACAUAAGCGUGCCACGUUUAAAAUUGAGGUUCGAUUCCUUGUGUCUCUA
rnacentral:tRNA from 1 species